UUUUUUUUUUUUUCUUGGAAGGUACAUGGAGGGGCACCCAGCACCCAUGCCCUGCAGGAACAUACAGUACCAGGUUGGGAAAUGUCAGGGUGGAAGACUGUACUGCCUGCCCUGCAGGGACUUUCUGCACCAGUGGGACCUCCAAGCCAGUUCUGUGCCCAGUAGGAACCUAUCGUACGGCUCGUGGUGCAAAGCUGGCUGCAGAGUGUCUGCUUUGUCCUGGAGGGUAUUACUGCCCUGAGCUUGGCACUGUUUCUCCUCGAGCAUGUGGUGCUGGCAACUUCUCAGGCCGUGGUCAGUCUGUUUGUAGGGACUGUCCAGAGGGAACAUUCUGCAAUGAGACAGGCCUUGCUGAACCCAGGGUGUGUCCCAAAGGGCAUUUUUGCUUGCCUGGAAGUUCCCUGCCUCUCCCAUGUCCCGUGGGAACUUACGCCGAUGUAGCUGGGGCAGGUUCCUGCAAGCCCUGCCCAGCAGGCAUGUACUGCAGCAUGGCUGGGCUGACUGAGCCAGAAGG